rnacentral:rRNA from 1 species
CACAGGAAACAGCUAUGACCAUGAUUACGCCAAGCUUGGUACCGAGCUCGGAUCCACUAGUAACGGCCGCCAGUGUGCUGGAAUUCGGCGGUUGGCUCAGAACGAACGCUGGCGGCAGGCUUAACACAUGCAAGUCGAGCGCCCCGCAAGGGGAGCGGCAGACGGGUGAGUAACGCGUGGGAAUCUACCUUUUGCUACGGAAUAACGCAGGGAAACUUGUGCUAAUACCGUAUGUGUCCUUCGGGAGAAAGAUUUAUCGGCAAGAGAUGAGCCCGCGUUGGAUUAGCUAGUUGGUGGGGUAAAGGCCUACCAAGGCGACGAUCCAUAGCUGGUCUGAGAGGAUGAUCAGCCACAUUGGGACUGAGACACGGCCCAAACUCCUACGGGAGGCAGCAGUGGG